ACGUGUCUUGUUGUGAAUCCAAACAAAAUCAGUCAGUCGUCAUUUUGUUGCCGAAAGAGCAACGUGUCGAGGGUUCCGCGCUCGCGGUCUGAGUAUGUUGUGGUGGUGAACGUGGCUUGCAACGAUGCACGCGUUGUUCGGCGAACAGAGCCCCUAUGCGUACCGUGGCGGAGCCGCCGGCGGCUAUUCAGCCGGAGUGACACCCUAUGCCUACGAACAAUAUCGAUACGGAUAUGGAGCUCCUUACCUCCAUCCGCACCAACAGCACGUUGGAGCGCCUAAGGAUAUGGUCAAACCGCCCUAUUCGUACAUAGCGCUAAUUGCUAUGGCGAUACAAAACGCACCCGAUCGACGUAUCACUCUGAACGGUAUCUACCAGUUUAUUAUGGAGCGAUUUCCUUACUAUCGAGAAAAUAAACAGGGUUGGCAAAAUUCGAUCAGACAUAAUUUAAGUCUUAAUGAGUGUUUCGUGAAAGUAGCGAGGGACGAUAAAAAACCCGGUAAGGGAAGCUAUUGGACUUUGGAUCCAGACUCUUACAACAUGUUUGAUAAUGGUUCGUAUUUGCGACGGAGACGCCGAUUUAAAAAGAAGGACGCCAUCAAAGAAAAGGAGGAAGCGUUAAAAAGGCAGCAACAACUUCAACAAGCGCAAGAAGCACUCGCAGCACAAGAAGCACUAAGUGCAGCGGAUGCACUUGGACAAACGCGUGAUAUCAAACCUGAUGUCAAACCUCGAAUUUUCGAGUGCAGACCGAAGCGAGAGCCUGGCGCAGAAUGUGCACGUUACGAUAAACCUGUCGAUGCGCUCGAUGAAUUUAGUGAAUCUCGACUGCCACCCUCUGCGGUAUAUUGUUCACCACAACCCUAUUCCUUAGCUGCUGAAGAAUUUCGAGCCGCUACGUCUGGUUGGUAUGCAGCGCCUGAACCACCCGCAGAGCAGUUGCCGCCGGCAUUCCGGGACCUUUUUGAACCACCGAGCUGCCAGCUAGCGGGUUUCCGGGGUAGUUCGCCAGGUCCGGAUGCAUACCGAGCCUCCCCACCACCGCAUCAUCACUACCGCACACCAGCACCUUCAUAUUAUCAUCACCAAGCGUGUGUAGCAGCUGCACCAGCGCCUGCUCAUAAGUCCUACUGAGAUACUGCCCUCAGGAGGCCGGCAUCAUACGGCGCCGAACGGAUUUAGCCGCGCGCGUCAGUUCCAGAGCGGAUAAAUAUAGCGCAGUAGCCGGAGAUGCCGUGAAGGCAAGUGGCGGCGCGUCGAUAACCACUGUUUACAGAUCGGCGGCCGACCCUGCCGCCUCUCGCUCCGUUCACACCUAUAGGUGUAACGGUCUAAGAAGAACGCGAGAGGCUGAGUGCAGGGGAGAACGGGAAUAUCUAAUGUUUUAUGACGACGCGGUAAUUUAAUAAUCUGAAGUUUGAAACAGUGAAAUUCUUUACAGUGCGAACAGUUUUUAUUUAUUAUUCAUGCUGUAGGAAUCUUAGGUAUUUUGAAGUAUAGUGCCAGAAGACUUAUUUUAGAAUGUAUCUAAAGGUAUACAUUUAAAGGUGAACUUGUAGAUACGAGGAUAAUAUUAAAUAAUCUGAUUUAGAUACCCAUAUAGCCUAGCUACAUUUAUUGUUUCCAUGUUGUUAGGCUAUAAGUAGUAUGAAUAUGAGUUAGAGAGAGAACCUAAUUUGAAACGCAUUUCUAUGUAAUAUUAUCUAUAAUGUAAAUAAAUAUAUUGACGUAUUAUAAGUAAUUGAAUUUAGGUAUAGUAAGUACGAAGUUUUAAUAGAUUUGAGUAAAAUUUUAAAGUUUUACGAAAAUCAAUAUGAACGAAUUCUAGUCUGUUGUAGGUAUAUUAAAUACAUUUUGAAUUUCUU
rnacentral:misc_RNA from 1 species